UACAGCGGGUGCAAGCGUUAAUCGGAAUUACUGGGCGUAAAGCGCGCGUAGGUGGUUUGUUAAGUUGGAUGUGAAAGCCCCGGGCUCAACCUGGGAACUGCAUCCAAAACUGGCAAGCUAGAGUACGGUAGAGGGUGGUGGAAUUUCCUGUGUAGCGGUGAAAUGCGUAGAUAUAGGAAGGAACACCAGUGGCGAAGGCGACCACCUGGACUGAUACUGACACUGAGGUGCGAAAGCGUGGGGAGCAAACAGG
rnacentral:rRNA from 1 species